GGAUGCGAUCAUACCAGCACUAAAGCACCGGAUCCCAACAGAACUCCGAAGUUAAGCGUGCUUGGGCGAGAGUAG
rnacentral:rRNA from 1 species